AUGGAUGGUACACUAAAACCUGGAAAUAGAAAGUAUGUCCUUGUUUUCUCCGACGAUAUCCUUGUUUACAGUAUCACAUUCGAGGAUCACCUGCAACAUGUGCGGAAAGUGCUAUCCCUUUUGUCUGAACGUCAAUGGAAGGUGAAGUUGUCAAAAUGUGCCUUUGCACAACGUCAAGUUGGAUAUCUUGGUCACAUCAUCAGCGGGCCUGGCGUGUCCACUGACCCUAGCAAAAUCUCUGCGAUUGAGACGUGGCCCACCCCAUCCAAUGUGAAGGAAGUACGUGGGUUCUUGGGACUCGCUGGCUACUACCGCAAGUUCAUUCGCAACUAUGGUAUCACUUGCCGUUCCUUGACAGCAUUGCUGAAGAAGGGAGUUGUUUUCCAUUGGUCUGAAACUGAGGAACGAGCGUUUCAAGCACUAAAACAAGUCCUCAUUUCUGCUCCAGUAUUGUCCCUCCCAAACUUCAACACAACGUUUGUCAUUGAGACGGACACGUGUGAUGUGGGGAUUGGUGCAGUUCUCACUCAAGAGGGUCACCCUAUCGCCUAUGUCAGCAAGGCUCUAGGACCUAGAAAUCGUGCACGUCAGUCUACAAGAAAGAAUACUUGGCAAUCUUGUUGGCUGUGGAACAUUGGCGUCAAUACUUGCAAUUAA
rnacentral:rRNA from 1 species